UACGGAGGGUGCGAGCGUUGUCCGGAAUCACUGGGCGUAAAGGGCGCGUAGGCGGUCCGGUAAGCGCGUGGUGAAAGCCCGGGGCUCAACCCCGGGUCGGCCGUGCGGACUGCGGGACUGGAGCACUGUAGAGGCAGGCGGAAUUCCGGGUGUAGCGGUGGAAUGCGUAGAGAUCCGGAAGAACACCGGUGGCGAAGGCGGCCUGCUGGGCAGUAGCUGACGCUGAGGCGCGACAGCGUGGGGAGCAAACAGG
rnacentral:rRNA from 1 species